rnacentral:rRNA from 1 species
GAGUUUGAUCAUGGCUCAGAUUGAACGCUGGCGGCAGGCCUAACACAUGCAAGUCGAACGGUAACAGGAAGCAGCUUGCUGCUUCGCUGACGAGUGGCGGACGGGUGAGUAAUGUCUGGGAAGCUGCCUGAUGGAGGGGGAUAACUACUGGAAACGGUAGCUAAUACCGCAUAAUGUCGCAAGACCAAAGAGGGGGACCUUCGGGCCUCUUGCCAUCGGAUGUGCCCAGAUGGGAUUAGCUUGUUGGUGGGGUAACGGCUCACCAAGGCGACGAUCCCUAGCUGGUCUGAGAGGAUGACCAGCCACACUGGAACUGAGACACGGUCCAGACUCCUACGGGAGGCAGCAGUGGGGAAUAUUGCACAAUGGGCGCAAGCCUGAUGCAGCCAUGCCGCGUGUAUGAAGAAGGCCUUCGGGUUGUAAAGUACUUUCAGCGGGGAGGAAGGGAGUAAAGUUAAUACCUUUGCUCAUUGACGUUACCCGCAGAAGAAGCACCGGCUAACUCCGUGCCAGCAGCCGCGGUAAUACGGAGGGUGCAAGCGUUAAUCGGAACUACUGGGCGUAAAGCGCACGCAGGCGGUUUGUUAAGUCAGAUGUGAAAUCCCCGGGCUCAACCUGGGAACUGCAUCUGAUACUGGCAAGCUUGAGUCUCGUAGAGGGGGGUAGAAUUCCAGGUGUAGCGGUGAAAUGCGUAGAGAUCUGGAGGAAUACCGGUGGCGAAGGCGGCCCCCUGGACGAAGACUGACGCUCAGGUGCGAAAGCGUGGGGAGCAAACAGGAUUAGAUACCCUGGUAGUCCACGCCGUAAACGAUGUCGACUUGGAGGUUGUGCCCUUGAGGCGUGGCUUCCGGAGCUAACGCGUUAAGUCGACCGCCUGGGGAGUACGGCCGCAAGGUUAAAACUCAAAUGAAUUGACGGGGGCCCGCACAAGCGGUGGAGCAUGUGGUUUAAUUCGAUGCAACGCGAAGAACCUUACCUGGUCUUGACAUCCACGGAAGUUUUCAGAGAUGAGAAUGUGCCUUCGGGAACCGUGAGACAGGUGCUGCAUGGCUGUCGUCAGCUCGUGUUGUGAAAUGUUGGGUUAAGUCCCGCAACGAGCGCAACCCUUAUCCUUUGUUGCCAGCGGUCCGGCCGGGAACUCAAAGGAGACUGCCAGUGAUAAACUGGAGGAAGGUGGGGAUGACGUCAAGUCAUCAUGGCCCUUACGACCAGGGCUACACACGUGCUACAAUGGCGCAUACAAAGAGAAGCGACCUCGCGAGAGCAAGCGGACCUCAUAAAGUGCGUCGUAGUCCGGAUUGGAGUCUGCAACUCGACUCCAUGAAGUCGGAAUCGCUAGUAAUCGUGGAUCAGAAUGCCACGGUGAAUACGUUCCCGGGCCUUGUACACACCGCCCGUCACACCAUGGGAGUGGGUUGCAAAAGAAGUAGGUAGCUUAACCUUCGGGAGGGCGCUUACCACUUUGUGAUUCAUGACUGGGGUGAAGUCGGAACAAGGUA